rnacentral:rRNA from 1 species
UGCGUAGGCGGUUUGAUAAGUCAGUUGUGAAAUUCCCCGGCUUAACCGGCGGGACUGCGAUUGAUACUGUCAAACUUGAAUCAGGUUGAGGUAGGCGGAAUGUGGCAUGUAGCGGUGAAAUGCAUAGAUAUGCCAUAGAACGCCGAUUGCGAAGGCAGCUUGCUGGACCUUGAUUGACGCUGAGGCACGAAAGCGUGGGGAGCGAACAGGAUUAGAUACCCUGGUAGUC